AAUGCGAUAAUUAAUGUGAAUUGCAGAAUUCAGUGAAUCAUCGAGUCUUUGAACGCACAUUGCGCCCCCUGGUAUUCCGGGGGGCAUGCCUGUCCGAGCGUCAUUGCUGCCCUCAAGCACGGCUUGUGUGUUGGGCUUCCGUCCCUGGCAACGGGGACGGGCCCAAAAGGCAGUGGCGGCACCAUGUCUGGUCCUCGAGCGUAUGGGGCUUUGUCACCCGCUCCCGUAGGUCCAGCUGGCAGCUAGCCUCGCAACCAAUCUUUUUAACCAGGUUGACCUAGGAUCAGGUAGGGAUACCCGCUGAACUUAAGC
rnacentral:misc_RNA from 1 species